GUACUGUUAUUCAUGUUGCUGCAGGGGGUUCGAAUUUAGUUCUUCUGGUUACCACUACUUACUAAGUGGAAUAGAAGAGAGUUUAUUAGGAAAAAAAAAAAAAGGUUUCAUCGAUGCUUGUGAUGUUGGAGUACGUUACUAACCCAUUUGAGUACGUUACUAACCCACUUCCAUUUUGUCUUUCUCAAUUGUUUCUAUUUUUUCGGUUCUUCAUCAUCAUCAGUUCCAGAUUCUCGGAGGCCUAUAUCAUUAUUUCUGUUUAUAUGAUUCUCCUAAUACUUAUUAAUGGGCUAGAUUUUGAGUGCUUUCCAUCACAGUUUUGAUUUGAUAAGAGGCCCAGGUGUGGUUGCUUUGAAGCCCAUCGUCAAGUUCACACGCACACCAACUGUUUGUAGAAAUGUUAGGUGGAGGUGAAAAUAUCCCAAAUCCUUGCCACUUACAAUGGUCAUUAUGGAAGAAUGCCUUGUUGUAUAUUUGAGACAGCAGUUUGUUUGCAGACCGUUGGCAAUAUCUUCAUAUUUUCAGGGGAUCUAUGGCAGCACUUUAACUGGACAAGGGAGAAACGUGGGAUGAUGAUUUUGAGUUGAAUACUAUAUUACAGGUCAAAAUUUGGUGCACAAGACAUUAGGGAAUUGUUUACUGACUUCAAACUGAUUACCUCAGGCUCAUCCAUCAUGGACCUUGGUUGUGCUCCUGAUGCCAGGCUUCAGGUAGCUUGCCGGAGCCUGGGGCCUUCCAGAAAUAGAGGCUCCAUUUUGGGUAUUGAUAUGAAGGAAUGCUUGGGCUUAAGUCUUCAUUGUUGGAAGAGUGAAGGAUAAAGAAGGUUAUAUAUAUGGAGGCUAUGCUUCUCGACCACGAGAGAGAGGCAUUGGAGGUUAUAUAUAUGGAGCUGAUACCACAAGAGUCGACCACAACUUUUGAAGAAUUAGCAAGAGUUCAGAAUGAUUGAAGUUAUAUCGGGUUGAAAGCUGAGCCAUUGUGUAGAUAGCCGACGAUCGUUGAAGGUUGAAGAUUGAAGAUUGAGAAGACGCUUAUAAUUUUUCUUAUUUACGUCUUGUAU